CACUUGGGACUCACGUCGUUACUGCAAAAGUGCCCUCGAGUCCGGACAGUCCACCAGAACGGCCAUCGUCAUAUCCUGGGCCAUUAUCAUAGGGACACUUAUUAUAGUUAUCCAGAAACGAGCAUGAGCCAUCGCUUCAAGAUCGAGAAGACCGACGAUACGGACUAAUCCAAAGAUGUGCAUGAGGGUUGCACGAAGGUGUUGAGAGCUCGUUAAAGAAGACAGUCUCUCUGGCUUCAUUAAGCUUUAACGGUCAAGAAGAAAUUAAGCAAAUUUUAGGAAAACGUUGAAGCAAAUGAUAAUGUAACGCGCGCGGUAUUUUCAAAGAUGCUCGCGUGCGACUUUUCGACAUUUUUUAAAUGUACAGGCAGGAGCGAGAUCGUACAAAUUACGAGCGUACGUAUAAAAGUCGAGAAUUACCUACUUGCGCGAUAGGAGGGUGUAGAGGAUGGCGAAUGAACGAGGAGAAUAAGGAGCGGAAUAAGAAGCAGAGGAAUUAGAACGUAGAAGAAAAUAAAGAAGAAGAAUAAGAAUAAGAAUAA